AGGGCCAUCGCUCAACGGAUAAAAGGUACUCCGGGGAUAACAGGCUGAUACCGCCCAAGAGUUCAUAUCGACGGCGGUGUUUGGCACCUCGAUGUCGGCUCAUCACAUCCUGGGGCUGAAGUAGGUCCCAAGGGGAUGGCUGUUCGCCAUUUAAAGUGGUACGCGAGCUGGGUUUAGAACGUCGUGAGACAGUUCGGUCCCUAUCUGCCGUGGGCGCUGGAGAAUUGAGGGGGGCUGCUCCUAGUACGAGAGGACCGGAGUGGACGCAUCACUGGUGUUCGGGUUGUCAUGCCAAUGGCACUGCCCGGUAGCUAAAUGCGGAAGAGAUAAGUGCUGAAAGCAUCUAAGCACGAAACUUGCCCCGAGAUGAGUUCUCCCUGAGACUUUAAGUCUCCUGAAGGAACGUUGAAGACGACGACGUUGAUAGGCCGGGUGUGUAAGCGCAGCGAUGCGUUGAGCUAACCGGUACUAAUGAACCGUGAGGCUUAACCUUACAACGCCGAAG
rnacentral:rRNA from 1 species